rnacentral:rRNA from 1 species
AUUGAACGCUGGCGGCAUGCCUUACACAUGCAAGUCGAACGGCAGCACGGACUUCGGUCUGGUGGCGAGUGGCGAACGGGUGAGUAAAGUAUCGGGACGUACCUUUCAGUGGGGGAUAACGUAGCGAAAGUUACGCUAAUACCGCAUAUUCUGUGCGCAGGAAAGCAGGGGAUCGCAAGACCUUGCGCUGAUUGAGCAGCCGAUAUCAGAUUAGCUAGUUGGUGGGGUAAAGGCCUACCAAGGCGACGAUCUGUAGCGGGUCUGAGAGGAUGAUCCGCCACACUGGAACUGAGACACGGUCCAGACUCCUACGGGAGGCAGCAGUGGGGAAUUUUGGACAAUGGGGGCAACCCUGAUCCAGCCAUGCCGCGUGAGUGAAGAAGGCCUUCGGGUUGUAAAGCUCUUUCGGCCGGGAAGAAAUCGUACGGGUUAAUACCCUGUGCGGAUGACGGUACCGGCAUAAGAAGCACCGGCUAACUACGUGCCAGCAGCCGCGGUAAGAC